AUCAGCUGACGAGUCCCAAAUAAGACAACGUGACGCGUGUCCUGGAU
rnacentral:hammerhead_ribozyme from 1 species